rnacentral:rRNA from 1 species
UGAGGAACAUGACCUUCGGCGGGGAUAGCCGGCCCAACGGCCGGGUAAUACCGCGUACGACCACAUGGGGACAUCCCCGAGUGGUGAAAGCAGCAAUGCGCCGAUGGAGUGCCUCGCGGCCUAUCAGCUAGUUGGCGAGGUAACGGCUCACCAAGGCGACGACGGGUAGCUGGU